GUACAUUCUUCUUUAUAAGUCCUAGAUCUUUCACUCUGAGCGCACACUAUUCUUGAAACAGCGUUGAAGAAACAUCUCCAAGCUUACAAACUCGAAAGUUAUUUCAAGGCAAGAAAUAUGGCUAAAAUACUGUUGAUGUUUAUUGUUCUAACAUGCCUGAUCGCAACUAUUACACCAGCGGUUUAUGACUAUGCAUGCUACGAAAAAGGAUGUAGCAUUAUUGAAGGUCGAUGCUCAAAGAAUGAAGAUUGUUGUGAUGGGUAUCAAUGUCACCCACUAGACUCCUCAUGGCAAGUUGUUCAAAAGAAUGGAUGUUACCCAGUAGAUCCUGUUCCAUGCAGCCAAUUGGAAAAGAAAAAUGUUUAAAAGUAUUUGAGAUUGGUGUUAAAAGCAAUUAAGGUGUUUGAACACAUUUCACUUGUAAAGAAAAAAAAAAUUAUUUCAAAUAAUAAUAAAAAAUUUUGUUAAAAA